rnacentral:misc_RNA from 1 species
GAUGAAGAACGCAGCGAAAUGCGAUAAGUAAUGUGAAUUGCAGAAUUCAGUGAAUCAUCGAAUCUUUGAACGCACAUUGCGCCCGCCAGUAUUCUGGCGGGCAUGCCUGUCCGAGCGUCAUUUCAACCAUCAAGCCUCGUGCUUGUGUUGGGGACCUGCGUCCGACGCAGGCCCUGAAAACCAGUGGCGGGCUCGCUGUCCACACCGAGCGUAGUAACUAACCUCGCUAUGGAGUGGCGCGGGCGCCUGCCGUAAAACCCCCAAUUUCACAAGGUUGACCUCGGAUCAGGUAGGAAUACCCGCUGAACUUAAGCAUAUCAAAAGCGGAGGA